GACGAACGCUGGCGGCGUGCUUAACACAUGCAAGUCGAACGGAAAGGCCCUGCUUGCAGGGUACUCGAGUGGCGAACGGGUGAGUAACACGUGGGUGAUCUGCCCUGCACUUCGGGAUAAGCCUGGGAAACUGGGUCUAAUACCGGAUAGGAGCCAUUUUUUAGUGUGAUGGUUGGAAAGUUUUUUCGGUGUAGGAUGAGCUCGCGGCCUAUCAGCUUGUUGGUGGGGUAAUGGCCUACCAAGGCGGCGACGGGUAGCCGGCCUGAGAGGGUGGACGGCCACAUUGGGACUGAGAUACGGCCCAGACUCCUACGGGAGGCAGCAGUGGGGAAUAUUGCACAGUGGGCGCAAGCCUGAUGCAGCGACGCCGCGUGGGGGAUGACGGCCUUCGGGUUGUAAACUCCUUUCGCUAGGGACGAAGCUUUUUGUGACGGUACCUAGAUAAGAAGCACCGGCUAACUACGUG
rnacentral:rRNA from 1 species